CCCCCGCGUCUGCGCAGAAGGCUGGGGCGGCGGAGUGGCCGGCCGAGGAGGCUACUUCGCGGUGAUUUGGCAGUCAGGUCAGACUCGCCAGCCCGGAAUGUCACUGCGUAAGUUACUGUGCCACGAGUCUGUUAAUAUCAAACUGUUAACGUGACGGGACAGCCCUGCUUCAGAGAAACAGUGUGCCUUCAGGGAAAAGGCCCAGGGAAGGUACUGGUUCUGUACAAAGCAGAAGCCUAAGGACUCCUAACGCUCUGCGGACACUGCCCGGCGAAUACUGUCUCGUCUCCGCAGUGUGAUGUUGACAUAAAUCCUAAAGACCAACAGCACUUGGGCUCCGAACAGCAACUGCUCAGCGAGCACUCAGGAAGACUUGCAAAUGUUUGAGGAAAAAAGAGGGAAAUCCCAGCACAUUAUCCAGUCACCUGUUAAGGCCCUUUUCAGCAAUGGUAGUGAAUGCCAGAAGGACCUACACAACAGGGUACAGGGAAGGCCAUCCUAGAGACUCCACACAGCUCCCCCACAUCAGGAGCCUCCGUAAAGCUUAGGAAACAGAAAGAGAGGCUAAAUGCAGCAGCAACAUGAAAAUAGUUUAAAAUGAACAAUGUGCACACCUAGGACCAAUCCAGAUGCUCCACACAUUCACGUAAGUGUACAUGUGAAUGAUGAAGAGGGCAUUGGAGUUCUUGCAAGCUGGAAACCCCAUGUCAAGAAUAGUUACCUACCUGAAUAAAAAUAAUCACUUAGGACCUCAAAGGUUGAUGCUGGAAAAUAGUGAAUAUUAUUAGUCUCUUGAUAUCCUCCUUUCUGAUUCUCCUACUGAUUACUGAUAUCACUCGCCACCACAAUACCACCACCCUAUUCUCCUCCUUGGCACUCUGGCUCUCUGGCCGAAGUAUGAAGAAACAGUUCUCUUUAGCUUUCUUACAACAGGGCCAGAGUAUUCAAAUGAACUUUGCUAAGGAAGCAAAAAAUGACUUUCCUCCACAUACAAUGAUCCUAGAGCCUAACAGACUCUAUUCAUUUUUAAUAAAUGAAGCAGUAACAUCAA